GAGCAAUGAUGAAAAGAUUUUACUGUGGAUCUUUAUGAAGGUUUCUACACUUGAUCUGAGCUCA
ensembl:snoRNA